rnacentral:rRNA from 1 species
UAGUCCACGCCGUAAACGAUGAUCACUGGUUGUGUGCGAUACACAGUGCGCGACUGAGGGAAACCAUUAAGUGAUCCACCUGGGGAGUACGUUCGCAAGAAUGAAACUCAAAGGAAUUGACGGGGGCCCGCACAAGCGGAGGAACAUGUGGUUUAAUUCGAUGAUACGCGAGGAACCUUACCUGGGCUUAAAUGUAGAGUGCAUUAUUUGGAAACAUCUUUUUCUCGGACAGAAUGCAAGGUGCUGCAUGGCUGUCGUCAGCUCGUGCCGUGAGGUGUCAGGUUAAGUCCUAUAACGAGCGCAACCCCUACCGUUAGUUGCCAGCGAGUCAUGUCGGGGACUCUAGCGGAACUGCCGGUGCAAACCGUGAGGAAGUGGGACGACGUCAAGUCAUCACGGCCCUUACGUCCUGGGCUACACACGUGCUACAAUGGCGCAUACAGAGGCAGCUACCUGGUGACAGGAUGCGAAUCUCCAAAGUCGCGUCUC